AGUGGCGGACGGGUGAGUAACACGUGAGAAUUUACCUUUAGGAGGGGGAUAACAAUCGGAAACGAAUGCUAAUACCCCAUAUGCUUUUGAGUGAAAUGGAUUUAUUCGCCUAAAGAGAAGCUCGCGGCUGAUUAGCUUGUUGGUGAGGUAAAAGCUUACCAAGGCGACGAUCAGUAUCUGGUUUGAGAGGACGAUCAGACACACUGGAACUGAGACACGGUCCAGACUCCUACGGGAGGCAGCAGUGGGGAAUUUUCCGCAAUGGGCGAAAGCCUGACGGAGCAAUACCGCGUGAGGGAAGACUGCCUAUGGGUUGUAAACCUCUUUUUUCAGGGAGGAAAAAAAUGACGUGUACCUGAAGAAUAAGCAUCGGCUAACUCCGUGCCAGCAGCCGCGGUAAGACGGAGGAUGCAAGUGUUAUCCGGAAUCACUGGGCGUAAAGCGUCUGUAGGUGGUUUAAUAAGUCAACUGUUAAAUCUUGAGGCUCAACUUCAAAAUCGCAGUCGAAACUAUUAGACUCGAGUAUAGUAGAGGUAAAGGGAAUUUCCAGUGGAGCGGUGAAAUGCGUAGAUAUUGGAAAGAACACCGAUGGCGAAGGCACUUUACUGGGCUAUUACUAACACUCAGAGACGAAAGCUAGGGUAGCAAAUGGGAUUAGAUACCCCAGUAGUCCUAGCUGUAAACUAUGGAUACUAGA
rnacentral:rRNA from 1 species